UAUAAUUUUAUAAUUUAUAUAAAUUACUUGUCUGAUUAUCCACAUCCUUUCUUUCGUCACGACGAAAACCCCAGGAUUUAUUUUAGCACGAUUUACAAGUGAUUUGAUAGGAUUGUUUUGUGCGACACAGGAUUGUGUAGAGGAAAGAGGCUGAUAUGUAUGUGGAAUGAGCUGCCAGAGGAAGUGAUUGAAGCAGAGAAACAAAGGACUGCAGAUGCUGGAAUCUAGAUGAAAAAAACAACAAGAUGCUGGAGGAAUUCAGCAGGCCAG